rnacentral:rRNA from 2 species
UCGUCACACUAUCAUUAACUGAAUCCAUAGGUUAAUGAGGCGAACCGGGGGAACUGAAACAUCUAAGUACCCCGAGGAAAAGAAAUCAACCGAGAUUCCCCCAGUAGCGGCGAGCGAACGGGGAGGAGCCCAGAGCCUGAAUCAGCAUGUGUGUUAGUGGAAGCGUCUGGAAAGGCGCGCGAUACAGGGUGACAGCCCCGUACACAAAAGCGCAUGUGCUGUGAGCUCGAUGAGUAGGGCGGGACACGUGGUAUCCUGUCUGAAUAUGGGGGGACCAUCCUCCAAGGCUAAAUACUCCUGACUGACCGAUAGUGAACCAGUACCGUGAGGGAAAGGCGAAAAGAACCCCGGCGAGGGGAGUGAAAAAGAACCUGAAACCGUGUACGUACAAGCAGUGGGAGCACCCUUUGGGUGUGACUGCGUACCUUUUGUAUAAUGGGUCAGCGACUUAUAUUCUGUAGCAAGGUUAACCGAAUAGGGGAGCCGGAGGGAAACCGAGUCUUAAUUGGGCGUUAAGUUGCAGGGUAUAGACCCGAAACCCGGUGAUCUAGCCAUGGGCAGGUUGAAGGUUGGGUAACACUAACUGGAGGACCGAACCGACUAAUGUUGAAAAAUUAGCGGAUGACCUGUGGCUGGGGGUGAAAGGCCAAUCAAACCGGGAGAUAGCUGGUUCUCCCCGAAAGCUAUUUAGGUAGCGCCUCGUGAAUUCAUCUCCGGGGGUAGAGCACUGUUUCGGCUAGGGGGCCAUCCCGGCUUACCAACCCGAUGCAAACUGCGAAUACCGGAGAAUGUUAUCACGGGAGACACACGGCGGGUGCUAACGUCCGUCGUGAAGAGGGAAACAACCCAGACCGCCAGCUAAGGUCCCAAAGUCAUGGUUAAGUGGGAAACGAUGUGGGAAGGCCCAGACAGCCAGGAUGUUGGCUUAGAAGCAGCCAUCAUUUAAAGAAAGCGUAAUAGCUCACUGGUCGAGUCGGCCUGCGCGGAAGAUGUAACGGGGCUAAACCAUGCACCGAAGCUGCGGCAGCGACACUGUGUGUUGUUGGGUAGGGGAGCGUUCUGUAAGCCUGUGAAGGUGUGUCGUGAGGCAUGCUGGAGGUAUCAGAAGUGCGAAUGCUGACAUAAGUAACGAUAAAGCGGGUGAAAAGCCCGCUCGCCGGAAGACCAAGGGUUCCUGUCCAACGUUAAUCGGGGCAGGGUGAGUCGACCCCUAAGGCGAGGCCGAAAGGCGUAGUCGAUGGGAAACGGGUUAAUAUUCCCGUACUUGGUGUUACUGCGAAGGGGGGACGGAGAAGGCUAUGUUGGCCGGGCGACGGUUGUCCCGGUUUAAGCGUGUAGGUGUGUGUUCCAGGUAAAUCCGGUUCACUUUAACACUGAGGCGUGACGACGAGGCACUACGGUGCUGAAGCAACAAAUGCCCUGCUUCCAGGAAAAGCCUCUAAGCAUCAGGUAACAUCAAAUCGUACCCCAAACCGACACAGGUGGUCAGGUAGAGAAUACCAAGGCGCUUGAGAGAACUCGGGUGAAGGAACUAGGCAAAAUGGUGCCGUAACUUCGGGAGAAGGCACGCUGACACGUAGGUGAAGUGAUUUACUCAUGGAGCUGAAGUCAGUCGAAGAUACCAGCUGGCUGCAACUGUUUAUUAAAAACACAGCACUGUGCAAACACGAAAGUGGACGUAUACGGUGUGACGCCUGCCCGGUGCCGGAAGGUUAAUUGAUGGGGUCAGCGCAAGCGAAGCUCCUGAUCGAAGCCCCGGUAAACGGCGGCCGUAACUAUAACGGUCCUAAGGUAGCGAAAUUCCUUGUCGGGUAAGUUCCGACCUGCACGAAUGGCGUAAUGAUGGCCAGGCUGUCUCCACCCGAGACUCAGUGAAAUUGAACUCGCUGUGAAGAUGCAGUGUACCCGCGGCAAGACGGAAAGACCCCGUGAACCUUUACUAUAGCUUGACACUGAACAUUGAGCCUUGAUGUGUAGGAUAGGUGGGAGGCUUUGAAGUGUGGACGCCAGUCUGCAUGGAGCCGACCUUGAAAUACCACCCUUUAAUGUUUGAUGUUCUAACGUGGACCCGUUACCCGGGUUGCGGACAGUGUCUGGUGGGUAGUUUGACUGGGGCGGUCUCCUCCUAAAGAGUAACGGAGGAGCACGAAGGUUGGCUAAUCCUGGUCGGACAUCAGGAGGUUAGUGCAAUGGCAUAAGCCAGCUUGACUGCGAGCGUGACGGCGCGAGCAGGUGCGAAAGCAGGUCAUAGUGAUCCGGUGGUUCUGAAUGGAAGGGCCAUCGCUCAACGGAUAAAAGGUACUCCGGGGAUAACAGGCUGAUACCGCCCAAGAGUUCAUAUCGACGGCGGUGUUUGGCACCUCGAUGUCGGCUCAUCACAUCCUGGGGCUGAAGUAGGUCCCAAGGGUAUGGCUGUUCGCCAUUUAAAGUGGUACGCGAGCUGGGUUUAGAACGUCGUGAGACAGUUCGGUCCCUAUCUGCCGUGGGCGCUGGAGAACUGAGGGGGGCUGCUCCUAGUACGAGAGGACCGGAGUGGACGCAUCACUGGUGUUCGGGUUGUCAUGCCAAUGGCACUGCCCGGUAGCUAAAUGCGGAAGAGAUAAGUGCUGAAAGCAUCUAAGCACGAAACUUGCCCCGA